rnacentral:lncRNA from 1 species
GGAUGUGAAGAAGAAGUGUGGAAACUAAAAAGUGAUUGAAUUGGAUGAGUUUUAAACACUUAGUAUGUACAGACUAGUGUCACCGACUGAUUUGAUGACAUCAGUGGUCUGUCACCGAAUUCGGUGGCUGCAGGGAGAGAAAUGAGUAAAGCAGCGUCCACCGAUUGAUUCGGUGGCUACAGGAAGUAAAUUGUGCCACACCAAUUGUUACGGGGUAACAGGAGCGAUGCACCGAAUAUGUUGGUGAUGUGUUAGUUGCCGUUGAAGAGUUGUACUUGAAGCCUUCACCGAUUGAUUCGGUGAUGUUGUUUUCUGUGCACGUGAACAUCAAUGGCUACUUUCUUGCAUUGGCAUAUAAAUACACCUUAUGGUGGUUCAUUCUUAUCUUGGCACUUAGUGAAGUUGAUAGGAUAAUUUUUUGAGGUCAAGGGCAAGUUAACCACUAGAAGUGAUUUGAAAAGUUCUUGAUUGAAGAUUAAGUACAUCAUUAGUGCUUGGAGAGUAGCAAGUGGGCAUCCAUCCUUCCCUUUAGCUUAUGUAGGUCAAGUGAGAGUCUUUGCUUGUUACUCUUGGUGAUUGGCAUCACCUAGAUGGCUUGGUGGUGGUGUUCUUGGUGAGCUCUCAAGGAGGUGUCUUGUGAGAUGCCCAAGAAGUGUUGUUCUCGGUUUGGAAUCCACCGAUCCGGAGCGGAGAAUGGAUUACCACUAGUG